CACACACACACACACACACGCACGCACAACCAUCAUGACCACAACCACUACCACCAUCACAAGAAAGAAGGGCACUUCCCACCGGCUUUUAGUUCCCUGAUCGGGCAGGUAAGGACCUUGUACUGAGCGUCCUUCUCCAACUGAGACGUCCAAAGAACGGAAUCCGUUCCUUGACUCAUUGUAACACAAACGGCAAUGACAAAUCGUAGCAUUAAACACACCGGGGAUGCUGAGCGCUGCCACCUGGCUGUGUAGUCACAGCACAGAGGACCAACGCAAACCAACCCGCUAUAAGCUGUGAAAUGUGCAUUACAGUGUGUUCAGAGCUAAGCUGCCGGCGGAGCUGGCCUUGCGAUAUGAACAGGAAUCUCAGAAGCUGCCUUCACUGUGGCGCAAUGCAGCCUUUGGCCACCAGAGGCACCGCGAGUCUGCGGCCUGUCAAAAACAGGCGCUUUUUCCUCCCCUUUCCUUGGUGAGCCUAUCAAUUACAUCUGUCACAAAUUUUAAGGUUAAAUCUCUGCUGAAGCAAAGCGAGCCCCAGCUGCAGCGCGCUCAGAAAGUGGACUGCCCACCUCUCCAAAGAGACAGGGAAUUUGAAAGGGUGAAAGUGAGGGCCAGAGCCAAGACCCAGAUCGGUUAACCUGGCUCUUGGCAAAGGCUCAUGGCCCAGGCUGGGAACCUGUGCCUCCCUAACUGCCUCACCAUGGGAGAGCCAGACUGAGUCAUGCGGAGCCGAGCUAUCGUGCUCUGAUAUUUGUAGCAGAAAAGAAAUACAAACUAUCCUCAAACAUUGUCCAGGUGUGGGCAGCAGGCCUAUUUAUCCCAAGCGAGGCAGGAGGAUCCCUCCAAGUUCAAGGCCUGAAGAUUCCAUGUAGUCACUUCCAGCUUCUUUAGAGAGAUCUCAAAACAGCCUGCAGGAGAAACAUCUGGAAACCUUGUGUUCAAUUCUGGAUUCCUGGCUCCUGGAGUCUGUCAGCUGAACCCCAGGAGGGCCUGGAAGUCUGCAUUUCCAACAAAAUUCAAGGCGGGGGUACUGUUGCUGUUCAGCUGUUUACUGGGGAUCAUGUUCUGGCCAUCUCUGUUCUGGAGGUUAUAAAUAAAUGGGUUCAUCUUUA